AAUGACUCUGAUUCUAUGAUUCUAAUUCUAUACACUGUACUGGAACCACAGAAUUAGAAUGACUCUGAUUCUAAGAUUCUAAUUCUAUACACUGUACUGGAACCACAGAAUUAGAAUGACUCUGAUUCUAUGAUUCUAAUUCUAUACACUGUACUGGAACCACAGAAUUAGAAUGACUCUGAUUCUAAGAUUCUAAUUCUAUACACUGUACUGGAACCACAGAAUUAGAAUGACUCUGAUUCUAUGAUUCUAAUUCUAUACACUGUACUGGGACAUUGGUAUGCGCUGUAUACUGUAGAAUCCCAGCAGCUGAUAACGGCAUUGAUCAGGUCCAACAAGGGAUGAUAUGUUACAAGAACACUGGACAUUUUCACACUGUAUCUCUGUAUCACUGUAUCUUGCCCAAUGGAUUUAAUAAUGCUUAACCACUAGCCAAAUACGAUGUGUGUUUAAGAAGUACUUUCUUAGCUAUAUAUUUUCUGUUUUAUUUUGUUUGAAUGGUAGAAGAUCAGAGACGACUUUCUGCUCUGGAUCGUGAUGUUGAUAGUCUCUCCAGACAUGUUGAUAGUCUCUCCCGUAGUCUCUCCAGACAUCUGCUUUGCCUCCCACAAUUUUCAAAUGCUCCAACUUAGGGUCUGGUUUUCAAGACUAGACAACACAAGUAUUGACAUCUGAACAGCGUUUUUUUUAAACCCCUGGUGCCUUAUCUUUCUCUAUAAAACAGGAAGGCUGUCAUCUUAUCACCAGACAGAAGCAGCUCAUGGACUUGAUUGAAUGCUGUUCAUGUCUGAGCUAAUAGAGGCAUCCAUUUUGUGACCUGGGACUUGUAUAACCGAACAAGAAAGAAAGGGUUACCAGAGGUCACUCUAACACCUUCCUGAAUGAGUCCAGAGAUCACUCUAACAUUCUCCUGAAUGAGUCCAGAGGUCACUCUAACAUUCUCCUGAAUGAGUCCAGAGAUCACUCUAACACCUUCCUGAAUGAGUCCAGAGAUCACUCUAACAUUCUCCUGAAUGAGUCCAGAGGUCACUCUAACAUUCUCCUGAAUGAGUCCAGAGGUCACUCUAACAUUCUCCUGAAUGAGUCCAGAGGUCACUCUAACAUUCUCCUGAAUGAGUCCAGAGAUCACUCUAACACCUUCCUGAAUGAGUCCAGAGAUCACUCUAACAUUCUCCUGAAUGAGUCCAGAGGUCACUCUAACAUUCUCCUGAAUGAGUCCAGAGGUCACUCUAACAUUCUCCUGAAUGAGUCCAGAGAUCACUCUAACAUUCUCCUGAAUGAGUCCAGAGAUCACUCUUACAUUCUCCUGAAUGAGUCCAGAGAUCACUCUAACAUUCUCCUGAAUGAGUCCAGAGAUCACUCUAACAUUCUCCUGAAUGAGUACAGAGGUCACUAUAACAUUCUCCUGAAUGAGUCCAGAGGUCACUCUAACAUUCUCCUGAAUGAGUCCAGAGGUCACUCUAACAUUCUCUGAAUGAGUCCAGAGGUCACGCUAACAUUCUCCUGAAUGAGUCCAGAGGUCACUCUAACAUUCUCCUGAAUGAGUCCAGAGGUCACUAACACCUUCCUGAAUGAGUCCAGAGGUCACUAACACCUUCCUGAAUGAGUCCAGAGAUCACUAACACCUUCCUGAAUGAGUCCAGAGGUCACUAACACCUUCCUGAAUGAGUCCAGGGGUCACUAACACCUUACUGAAUGAGUCCAGAGGUCACUAACACCUUCCUGAAUGAGUCCAGAGGUCACUAACAUUGAUUGCUCUAAAUCUGUGUAACACUUUUUGUCUUCCCCUCUCUGACGGGAAACAACACCCUGUCCCCGAAGUCAUGUUUAUACCUCCUCUGGAAAUAGUUUUUCAUAUGUCCUCUGUUAUUGUCUUUCCCUUUACUCACUGACCACUCCCCUCUUUGAUAUACUAUUGGCCAUGUUCCUCAUAUGUCGGAACUAUACACUACUUAUUAUAUACAUGUGUGAUGAAGGACCCUUUGGACAUCUGGUAUCUGAAUGGUAUCAAGUUAACAAAGUAUUCUGAUUCUGUGAUCAGGUGUGUUGAAACAGGUGUGUUGAAACACAGUCCCUCUAAGGUGUGUUGAAGAUCUCACCUGACCUGUUGUGUCAUGAGAAAUAUAAAUUUUAAAAAACAUAAUCAAAUGAAUAUACUUCAUUGAACAUGACAAAAUAUAAAGACAUUGUACUAUACUGUAUUACCAAUAUGAUGUUGACAUACAUGAGUACAGUGUAAUAUUUUAGCUUAUUUAUAAUGCACCAGCCAGCCUUUACAGUAAAACCAGCAUAGCAUUGUAUAUAUCAACUGAUUUAUGCUCUCUUGGGUGGUUGCAUCUGGUUCCAACUGGUUUCAACUGGUUUCAAAUGGUUCCAACUGGUUUCAACUGGUUCCAACUGGCUCCAUCUGGUUCCAACUGGUUCCACAUGGUUUCAACUGGUUCCAACUGGUUUCAACUGGUUCCAAAUGGUUCCAACUGGUUCCACAUGGUUUCAACUGGUUCCAACUGGUUUCAACUGGUUCCAAAUGGUUCCAACUUGUUCCACGUGGUUUCAACUGGUUUCAACUGGUUCCAAAUGGUUCCAACUAGUUCCAAAUGGUUCCAACUGGUUCCACGUGGUUUCAACUGGUUCCAACUGGUUCCAACUUGUUCCACGUGGUUUCAACUGGUUCCACGUGGUUUCAACUGGUUCCAAAUGGUUCCAACUAGUUCCAAAUGGUUCCAACUGGUUCCACGUGGUUUCAACUGGUUCCAACUGGUUCCACGUGGUUUCAACUGGUUCCAACUGGUUCCACGUGGUUUCAACUGGUUCCAACUGGUUUCAAAUGGUUCCAACUGGUUCCAAAUGGUUCCAACUGGUUCCAAGUGGUUCCAACUGGUUUUAAAUGGUAUAGAAAUUCAUCAACUGUUCCUGUGUAGCUUCAUUUUGUAACAAUGUAUGUUCCUUUUUAUGUUAUUUUAGUUAUAUCAUUAUACUGUUGACUGUUGUUACUCUAUCCUUGUUGUUGUUGUUGUUAUAUUAUUCAUAUGUAAACAUUGUUAUGCUAUAUUAUGAAACUCUGUGCCAAUCAAAAUCGCUAUUCGGCUUUUACCUGUCUCACUGGAUAAGAAAACACACACAGAGAGAGAAAGAGAGAGAGAGAGUAGAGAAUUGAAGGAGUUUGUCUGGUGGGAGUCCGUGAUGUCAUCGGGCUCCAUCUUGCUUGAGGAACUGCAGAGACCUAAGGAGGAAAGGCCAUCCUGUGUCACACCCUGUCACACCUGGACUACCGAUUGAGAUGUGGCUUUUGUUAAGGAAAUCAGGUGUUAAAUGACACUUUAAAUCUUUACUUCAUUUUUUAAAAUACGUUUAUCUUAUUACUCUAAUUCUUAUGGCUUAAAGCCCUUCAGAGCACUAAAAUACUUAAUGAAAGCAUAAAUACCCCUCCUUCAUUCACCUCUAUACUAUUCCUGUUCCUGCUUUUAAAGUCCUCCCUAUAAAUGUGUGAUUUUUAGUCUUACCUCUUACUUUAUUUUUAAUACACGAUCAUUACAUUUAUUUUGGAACCUUUGCUGUUUUGUAUUUUUGUGUUAAAGAGCAUGUUGCCAUAAUAUGAAUGCAGU
ensembl:lncRNA